UGGUGGGGUGACUGCGUACCUUUUGUAUAAUGGGUCAGCGACUUAUAUUCUGUAGCAAGGUUAACCGCAUAGGGGAGCCGAAGGGAAACCGAGUCUUAAUUGGGCGUUAAGUUGCAGGGUAUAGACCCGAAACCCGGUGAUCUAGCCAUGGGCAGGUUGAAGGUUGGGUAACACUAACUGGAGGACCGAACCGACUAAUGUUGAAAAAUUAGCGGAUGACCUGUGGCUGGGGGUGAAAGGCCAAUCAAACCGGGAGAUAGCUGGUUCUCCCCGAAAGCUAUUUAGGUAGCGCCUCGUGAAUUCAUCUCCGGGGGUAGAGCACUGUUUCGGCUAGGGGGCCAUCCCGGCUUACCAACCCGAUGCAAACUGCGAAUACCGGAGAAUGUUAUCACGGGAGACACACGGCGGGUGCUAACGUCCGUCGUGAAGAGGGAAACAACCCAGACCGCCAGCUAAGGUCCCAAAGUCAUGGUUAAGUGGGAAACGAUGUGGGAAGGCCCAGACAGCCAGGAUGUUGGCUUAGAAGCAGCCAUCAUUUAAAGAAAGCGUAAUAGCUCACUGGUCGAGUCGGCCUGCGCGGAAGA
rnacentral:rRNA from 1 species